rnacentral:rRNA from 1 species
GAUGAACGCUGGCGGCGUGCCUAAUACAUGCAAGUCGAGCGAACAGACGAGGAGCUUGCUCCUCUGACGUUAGCGGCGGACGGGUGAGUAACACGUGGAUAACCUACCUAUAAGACUGGGAUAACUUCGGGAAACCGGAGCUAAUACCGGAUAAUAUAUUGAACCGCAUGGUUCAAUAGUGAAAGACGGUUUUGCUGUCACUUAUAGAUGGAUCCGCGCCGCAUUAGCUAGUUGGUAAGGUAACGGCUUACCAAGGCGACGAUGCGUAGCCGACCUGAAGGGGUGAUCGACCACACUGGAACUGAGACACGGUCCAGACUCCUACGGGAGGCAGCAGUAGGGAAUCUUCCGCAAUGGGCGAAAGCCUGCCGGAGCAACGCCGCGUGAGUGAUGAAGGUCUUCGGAUCGUAAAACUCUGUUAUUAGGGAAGAACAAAUGUGUAAGUAACUAUGCACGUCUUGACGGUACCUAAUCAGAAAGCCACGGCUAACUACGUG